rnacentral:rRNA from 1 species
UACGAAGGGUGCAAGCGUUACUCGGAAUUACUAGGCGUAAAGCGUGCGUAGGUGGUUUGUUAAGUCUGGUGUGAAAGCCCUGGGCUCAACCUGGGAAUUGCAUUGGAUACUGGCAGGCUAGAGUGCGGUAGAGGAUGGCGGAAUUCCCGGUGUAGCAGUGAAAUGCGUAGAGAUCGGGAGGAACAUCUGUGGCGAAGGCGGCCAUCUGGACCAGCACUGACACUGAGGCACGAAAGCGUGGGGAGCAAACAGG